rnacentral:rRNA from 1 species
UGACUGCGUACCUUUUGUAUAAUGGGUCAGCGACUUAUAUUCUGUAGCAAGGUUAACCGAAUAGGGGAGCCGAAGGGAAACCGAGUCUUAACUGGGCGUUAAGUUGCAGGGUAUAGACCCGAAACCCGGUGAUCUAGCCAUGGGCAGGUUGAAGGUUGGGUAACACUAACUGGAGGACCGAACCGACUAAUGUUGAAAAAUUAGCGGAUGACUUGUGGCUGGGGGUGAAAGGCCAAUCAAACCGGGAGAUAGCUGGUUCUCCCCGAAAGCUAUUUAGGUAGCGCCUCGUGAAUUCAUCUCCGGGGGUAGAGCACUGUUUCGGCAAGGGGGUCAUCCCGACUUACCAACCCGAUGCAAACUGCGAAUACCGGAGAAUGUUAUCACGGGAGACACACGGCGGGUGCUAACGUCCGUCGUGAAGAGGGAAACAACCCAGACCGCCAGCUAAGGUCCCAAAGUCAUGGUUAAGUGGGAAACGAUGUGGGAAGGCCCAGACAGCCAGGAUGUUGGCUUAGAAGCAGCCAUCAUUUAAAGAAAGCGUAAUAGCUCACUGGUCGAGUCGGCCUGCGCGGAAGAUGUAACGGGGCUAAACCAUGCACCGAAGCUGCGGCAGCGACGCUUAUGCGUUGUUGGGUAGGGGAGCGUUCUGUAAGCCUGUGAAGGUGUGCUGUGAGGCAUGCUGGAGGUAUCAGAAGUGCGAAUGCUGACAUAAGUAACGAUAAAGCGGGUGAAAAGCCCGCUCGCCGGAAGACCAAGGGUUCCUGUCCAACGUUAAUCGGGGCAGGGUGAGUCGACCCCUAAGGCGAGGCCGAAAGGCGUAGUCGAUGGGAAACAGGUUAAUAUUCCUGUACUUGGUGUUACUGCGAAGGGGGGACGGAGAAGGCUAUGUUGGCCGGGCGACGGUUGUCCCGGUUUAAGCGUGUAGGCUGGUUUUCCAGGCAAAUCCGGAAAAUCAAGGCUGAGGCGUGAUGACGAGGCACUACGGUGCUGAAGCAACAAAUGCCCUGCUUCCAGGAAAAGCCUCUAAGCAUCAGGUAACAUCAAAUCGUACCCCAAACCGACACAGGUGGUCAGGUAGAGAAUACCAAGGCGCUUGAGAGAACUCGGGUGAAGGAACUAGGCAAAAUGGUGCCGUAACUUCGGGAGAAGGCACGCUGAUAUGUAGGUGAAGUCCCUCGCGGAUGGAGCUGAAAUCAGUCGAAGAUACCAGCUGGCUGCAACUGUUUAUUAAAAACACAGCACUGUGCAAACACGAAAGUGGACGUAUACGGUGUGACGCCUGCCCGGUGCCGGAAGGUUAAUUGAUGGGGUCAGCGCAAGCGAAGCUCUUGAUCGAAGCCCCGGUAAACGGCGGCCGUAACUAUAACGGUCCUAAGGUAGCGAAAUUCCUUGUCGGGUAAGUUCCGACCUGCACGAAUGGCGUAAUGAUGGCCAGGCUGUCUCCACCCGAGACUCAGUGAAAUUGAACUCGCUGUGAAGAUGCAGUGUACCCGCGGCAAGACGGAAAGACCCCGUGAACCUUUACUAUAGCUUGACACUGAACAUUGAGCCUUGAUGUGUAGGAUAGGUGGGAGGCUUAGAAGUGUGGACGCCAGUCUGCAUGGAGCCGACCUUGAAAUACCACCCUUUAAUGUUUGAUGUUCUAACGUUGACCCGUAAUCCGGGUUGCGGACAGUGUCUGGUGGGUAGUUUGACUGGGGCGGUCUCCUCCUAAAGAGUAACGGAGGAGCACGAAGGUUGGCUAAUCCUGGUCGGACAUCAGGAGGUUAGUGCAAUGGCAUAAGCCAGCUUGACUGCGAGCGUGACGGCGCGAGCAGGUGCGAAAGCAGGUCAUAGUGAUCCGGUGGUUCUGAAUGGAAGGGCCAUCGCUCAACGGAUAAAAGGUACUCCGGGGAUAACAGGCUGAUACCGCCCAAGAGUUCAUAUCGACGGCGGUGUUUGGCACCUCGAUGUCGGCUCAUCACAUCCUGGGGCUGAAGUAGGUCCCAAGGGUAUGGCUGUUCGCCAUUUAAAGUGGUACGCGAGCUGGGUUUAGAACGUCGUGAGACAGUUCGGUCCCUAUCUGCCGUGGGCGCUGGAGAACUGAGGGGGGCUGCUCCUAGUACGAGAGGACCGGAGUGGACGCAUCACUGGUGUUCGGGUUGUCAUGCCAAUGGCACUGCCCGGUAGCUAAAUGCGGAAGAGAUAAGUGCUGAAAGCAUCUAAGCACGAAACUUGCCCCGAGAUGAGUUCUCCCUGACUCCUUGA